AUUGCUUCUCGGCCUUUUGGCUAAGAUCAUGUGUAGUAUCUGUUCUUAUCAGUUUAAUAUAAUAAAAGCCCAGCUACUGAAUGGCAGAAUGACCAGAACAACCACA
rnacentral:snRNA from 1 species